rnacentral:tRNA from 1 species
GCCACCGUAGCUCAGGGGUAGAGCACUCGAUUCGUAAUCGAGUGGUCGUCGGUUCGAAUCCGACCGGUGGCU